rnacentral:rRNA from 1 species
AUGAACGCUGGCGGCGUGCCUAAUACAUGCAAGUCGAGCGAACAGACGAGGAGCUUGCUCCUCUGACGUUAGCGGCGGACGGGUGAGUAACACGUGGAUAACCUACCUAUAAGACUGGGAUAACUUCGGGAAACCGGAGCUAAUACCGGAUAAUAUAUUGAACCGCAUGGUUCAAUAGUGAAAGACGGUUUUGCUGUCACUUAUAGAUGGAUCCGCGCCGCAUUAGCUAGUUGGUAAGGUAACGGCUUACCAAGGCGACGAUGCGUAGCCGACCUGAGAGGGUGAUCGGCCACACUGGAACUGAGACACGGUCCAGACUCCUACGGGAGGCAGCAGUAGGGAAUCUUCCGCAAUGGGCGAAAGCCUGACGGAGCAACGCCGCGUGAGUGAUGAAGGUCUUCGGAUCGUAAAACUCUGUUUUUAGGGAAGAACAAAUGUGUAAGUAACUAUGCACGUCUUGACGGUACCUAAUCAGAAAGCCACGGCUAACUACGUG